rnacentral:rRNA from 1 species
UACGUAGGGGGCAAGCGUUGUCCGGAAUCAUUGGGCGUAAAGAGCGCGUAGGCGGCCCUGUAAGUCCGCUGUGAAAGUCAAGGGCUCAACCCUUGGAUGCCGGUGGAUACUGCAGGGCUAGAGUCCGGAAGAGGCGGGUGGAAUUCCUGGUGUAGCGGUGAAAUGCGCAGAUAUCAGGAGGAACACCGAUGGCGAAGGCAGCUCGCUGGGACGGUACUGACGCUGAGGCGCGAAAGCGUGGGGAGCAAACAGG